CCUACGGGAGGCAGCAGUGAGGAAUAUUGGUCAAUGGGCGAGAGCCUGAACCAGCCAAGUCGCGUGAGGGAAGACGGUCCUAUGGAUUGUAAACCUCUUUUGUCGGGGAGCAAAAAGGCCUCGUGAGGCCACAAGUGAGAGUACCCGAAGAAAAAGCAUCGGCUAACUCCGUGCCAGCAGCCGCGGUAAUACGGAGGAUGCGAGCGUUAUCCGGAUUUAUUGGGUUUAAAGGGUGCGUAGGCGGACUGGAAAGUCAGCGGUAAAAUCGAGAGGCUCAACCUCUUUCCGCCGUUGAAACUGUCGGUCUUGAGUGGGCGAGAAGUAUGCGGAAUGCGUGGUGUAGCGGUGAAAUGCUUAGAGAUCAUACAGAACACCGAUUGCGAAGGCAGCUUACCAAGCUACUUCUGACGUUGAGGCACGAAAGCGUGGGGAGCAAACAGGAUUAGAUACCCGGGUAGUC
rnacentral:rRNA from 1 species